rnacentral:rRNA from 1 species
UGGUGGAAUGAUUUAUCUGGUUAAUUCCGUUAAUGAACGAAACCUUAACCUGUUAGAUAGUUACAUGUAACCUCAGUCACAUGGGCAACCUCUCAAAGGGACUUUACAUGUCUAACAUAAGGACAUGUGAGGCAAUAACA